rnacentral:rRNA from 1 species
AACGAACGCUGGCGGCAGGCUUAACACAUGCAAGUCGAACGCAUCCUUCGGGGUGAGUGGCAGACGGGUGAGUAACGCGUGGGAACGUGCCCUUCAGUACGGCAUCACCCAGGGAAACUUGGGCUAAUACCGGAUACGUGCGAGAGCAGAAAGAUGUAUAGCUGAAGGAUCGGCCCGCGCCUGAUUAGCUAGUUGGUGGGGUCAUGGCCCACCAAGGCGACGCUCAGUAGCUGGUCUGAGAGGAUGAUCAGCCACAUUGGGACUGGGACACGGCCCAAACUCCUACGGGAGGCAGCAGUGGGGAAUAUUGGACAAUGGGCGCAAGCCUGAUCCAGCCAUGCCGCGUGAGUGAUGAAGGCCUUAGGGUUGUAAAGCUCUUUCGUCCGGGACGAUAAUGACGGUACCGGAAGAAGAAGCCCCGGCUAACUUCGUGCCAGCCGCCGCGGUAA